rnacentral:rRNA from 1 species
AGUGAACGCUGGCGGUAGGCCUAACACAUGCAAGUCGAACGGCAGCACAGUAAGAGCUUGCUCUUACGGGUGGCGAGUGGCGGACGGGUGAGGAAUACAUCGGAAUCUACUUUUUCGUGGGGGAUAACGUAGGGAAACUUACGCUAAUACCGCAUACGACCUACGGGUGAAAGCAGGGGAUCUUCGGACCUUGCGCGAUUGAAUGAGCCGAUGUCGGAUUAGCUAGUUGGCGGGGUAAGGCCCACCAAGGCGACGAUCCGUAGCUGGUCUGAGAGGAUGAUCAGCCACACUGGAACUGAGACACGGUCCAGACUCCUACGGGAGGCAGCAGUGGGGAAUAUUGGACAAUGGGCGCAAGCCUGAUCCAGCCAUACCGCGUGGGUGAAGAAGGCCUUCGGGUUGUAAAGCCCUUUUGUUGGGAAGGAAAAGCAGCAGGUUAAUACCCCGCUGUUCUGACGGUACCCAAAGAAUAAGCACCGGCUAACUUCGUG